AUGACCCUAACCACGCAAGCAAUCACGGUCUGGAACCUGGACUGCUGCCUCAUCCUCCAGGAGUCAGGCCCAGGACUGGUGAAGCCCUCACAGACCCUCUCUCUCAACUGUGUUGUCUCCGGGGGCUCUGUCACCAGCAGUUACUAUUGGAACUGGAUCCGCCAGCGCCCUGGGAGAGCAUUGGAGUGGAUGGGGUACUGGACAGGUAGCACAAGCUACAACCCGACUUUCCAGGGCCGCAUCUCCAUCACUGCUGACACGUCCAAAAACCAGUUCUCCCUGCAGCUGAGCUCUGUGACCACCGAGGACACGGCCGUGUAUUACUGUGCCAGAGGCAAACUGAGGAGACAUCAGU